rnacentral:lncRNA from 1 species
GUUAUUGCAUGAGUGAUGAGGGGGUAAAUAUCGAGAACCCAUUAUGACUGUGCACCCCGAGGACAGUUCCCCUCAAAACGUCUCUUCUUCUCUUUUUUUUUCGAAAUUCAAAUUCUCCCCAAGUUCUCCCAAUUUUCGUGAAACCCUUACCCUCCUUCUGCUUUCUGCGUGCUCUGUUCAUCCUGCCUUUCUGCCUCACUCAUCUUUAAGGUACGUUUUUCAUACUGCCAUGGAUAGCCCAA